rnacentral:rRNA from 1 species
UACGGGGGGAGCAAGCGUUGUUCGGAUUUACUGGGCGUAAAGGGCGCGUAGGCGGCCUCUGCAAGUCGACUGUGAAAUCUCCGGGCUUAACCCGGAAGGUCAGCCGAUACUGCAGGGCUAGAGUGCAGAAGGGGCAACUGGAAUUCUCGGUGUAGCGGUGAAAUGCGUAGAUAUCGAGAGGAACACCUGCGGCGAAGGCGGGUUGCUGGGCUGACACUGACGCUGAGGCGCGAAAGCUAGGGGAGCGAACAGG